UUUAUUUAGUUCCUUUACUUCCCGGAGACCGAAGAAAAAAACAAUUACGACGUCAUGUAAUACGAUGCUAGUUUUACCCACAAGUCAACGGGACGAUAGUAUAAAUUAAAACGUCACCCGCCUAAAAUUCUUUUCCGUUCAAAUCGCAAUGGGGAACGUCUGGCUAUCGUUAUGGCCUUUUGGAAAAAAGAUUCUAACAUCUAUUGCAUUUGAUCCUGGAUGACAUGAAUUGGCACUUGGGUGAUUCAGGCAAAUGGCGGUUUCUUUGGAAAACAUUUUUUUCACAGUCUACCUAAUUUGGACUGCCUUGGUCUGAAUUUUAAUAAUGAUCAUGGAACCAUUAAUGGAAUAGCAGAUGUUUCUGAAGUUACAGAAAGGAAGAAUGGGUGUAAGCAUUUCAACCACAUCACCUUGAAUCUAAAAAGGGCCGGUGAAGAAAACCUUCUGCCAUAUGAGUUUUCGGUGUCUGUUGAAGAUUUGUUGACAAUCCCCUCGACAAGUCAAAGUAAAUGUACCUAUAGGUUGGGUCACGAAAGCAAGCAAGGACCGUUGUGGACCAGCUGACUUGACUGUUAAAUAGAAAAAUGUGAAUCAGACUUGACUGUUAAAUACAUGUAUUGGAACAGACACUGACUACUCUGGUUAAUGCAGCUUUGUCCAGUUAUUUACUUUAACUGUGAUUUAUCACAUCAAAUGUGAGGUUGACAAUUGUAAUGCUGUUGAAGCAUUACUUGAACUGUGCAGUAGAAAGAUGCGUACAUGGGAACUCUCCCUAACUACUUACACAAAUGUUUUGGGCAUGUUUAAGUGUACUGUAAAUUAGGCAAUAAAAGUACUCAACUAUUUGCCUUGUCUAUAUUAUUGAAUGCCUAUUAGCUUAGGAUUUCCCAACUUUUCAUGGACAUGUUGGUACAUGUAGCUAUACAGUACCUAGCGGUUUAAAUAGAUCUGGCUAACGUUUGUCUACGCCGUUGACAGCGCAAUCUAGCACAUUUGAAAUGUUGGCAAAUAGUUCAACCAUCCCUAUUACUUUGUUCAUGUUUGCUUUCGACUAAUAUCUUUGCGGUUAGAUGAUUGGAAGACCCGAUGGGUUGAAUCCAAACAUGUCGGACUACGGAAAAUGUCUUGUAUGCUGGUAAAUUCUAUGGAGAAGCUGAGACAAAUUUUAAAUAGCUAGUUAAUGUCUUGCACACGUCAGACCUUGUAAAUAUUUAACAAGGUUAACCGUGGCCAUUUCUGAAAUAUUUCCCUAGUGGAACAUCCAGCAGCUAGUCCAUUGGAAUGAACUGGUUUCAACUGGGUUUUAAAAAUCUACUGUUUAAUAAGUUAAGAAUACCCUUUGAAACCAAUCAAAACCCAUUUAAACCAAUAGACCUAUGGGUGGCACCUGCUUCACCAGUUCCAUCCAGUUGAAACCAAUAGGAUGUUACUGGCCAGUUAACAAAUUAAAAUGAAUCCAAUUGGUUAACUGGUCUAAUAAACCCAAUAGAAAGUCAUUGGUAGCAUAACUUUAAAAAAUCUACACUAUUUGCCAUGCGAUUUGUAGAAAACUAACCUUUCCGCAACCAGGCAUUCUUAACUGAUGCCUGCUGAAAAUCUUUCUCGUUUCAAAAUUAUUCGAGUCAACAAGUGUUAGAACUUUUUAUUUUGUUUUAGAAUAUGGACCUACUAUUAAUAUACAAUUCAUAACAAGAACGAUACAGAGGCUCCAGACAAACCCAAGAAAAGAUAACCAGAUGCAAAUUCAUUAACAUCUAUACGGAAAUUCGUUAUAGCAUUUACUUGAAUUUCAGCAUUUGAAUACAUAUUUAAACAUUUUUAUUAUAAUACAUUAUUUCUAUAGCACCUUUCAUAAGGACUUUACAUCCGCACACAAUAAAAACAAACAAACGUAAAAAAGAUUAACCACUCAAUUCAAAGGGCAGAAAAAGAGGAUCAAUGUUGGGCUGGACCUGUGUAUUAGAAUAUUUGGAUAAUCUUUCAUUGGGUAGGUAAUUUAUCGUCUAAAGACUGUAAAAGUAGAGCACACACUGGGUUUUGGGGAUAUUGAAACAAUCAGUCCUUUUCAUGAUUAUUAAGAAAUGUACAUAUAUACAUUUUGUCACUGAACUCAAGUAAUAAACACUUUCCAACAAUGUCACUAGGGAGCACAACACUUAUGUUCUAACCGACUGAUGCAUGUUAUGUGGGGGGUGUUUGCAAUGGCUUUGUUACGAUGAACAUUGAAAAGUUUGACAAAGAGCAUAACCUCAAUGUGUAGAUGUGCAAAUUUUGAUUAUUUCACCGAAUACAACUGUAUUGCUUGUUUUGAUGCACCUUUUGUAGCCGGUGCUGUCAAGCCUUUGACCUUUGUAGACCAGUCUGUUAUGCACUACCACAGCUGAUAUUGGCCAACCACUCUUUUGAAAUAGCUCCUGCUCUUCAGUGUUGAGUGUACACGGAUAACCCUCUUCUAAAACUGUAGUGCCGUGAUGCUCCUCAGCCACUUGUAAUCGGGGGUAAGAAGUUAAGUUGAGACAGAAUUUCAGUAUUUCAUGGUGG
ensembl:lncRNA